AGGGAUUUGCAGGAUAGCUGAAACAUGGUCAUGGAAAAACAUUUGCUUUCCUUCCUCUAGGAAGGAUCUAAGCUGAGCCUUCUUAGCUAAGACUCUGUACCCCAGAGCUUGGAGGGCAUUCUGUUGUGUGUUCUUAUUCCCCUUCAGGGACUGGAGCUAUGAGGAGACCAUCUACAUACACUGGAGCAAGGUUCCUUGCAGAUAUUUUCAUCACAAUCCCAACAGAUCUGCACGUGGGGCUGCAUCAGAUGAUGCUGAAAGCCUCAACAGAAACACAAGCUGCUGAAGUACCUUUCAGACCACCGAGGAGUAACAGCAAAGAGAAGGUUCAGGGAAGACCAGGGCCUCUGCCAGACAUUGUGACUGACCUGGAACUCACUAUGUAGACAAGAAUGGCCUUGAACUUACAGAGAUCCACCUGCUCUGCCUCCCUGGGUCCUGGGAUUAAAGAUGUGCAACAUUAAACCUGGCCUAACAUCCUUGAGUUUUAAAAUUCUAUCACACCCCACAAGUUCCAAAAUGAUAUCCAGACUCCAGUGUUUGAGCCACUAAGAGACACUGCCCAAGCUGCCCUCCACAUCUAGAAGCAGCAUGGACCCCACAACUGCUCACAGAGGUCAUCAGCUCAUUUACCCAACACACAUGUCAGAAUGUAGACAGGCCAGCCUAACACUACCAGUAACCCUGACUUACCCAACACACAUGUCAGAAUGUAGACAGGCCAGCCUAACAUUGCCAGUAGCCCUCUAUAGAUUCUCACUCAAGAUUCAGUGUGUAACACUGAAGAAAGUUCUAUAAUCAGAAAAUCUAGGGAAAUGUCAUCCACAUGAAGCUCUGUCCCUUCCUUUUUCCUGACCCACCAAACUCAAAUGAAGUAACAAGACUAUGCUUCCACAGAGACCACUGCCCAUUGGCCAUCAGGUGCUGUGAUCAGGGCUGCUCUAGGUAGAGUCUGGGAAGGUCUGAGAGGAAAGAAAACACUAGACAUGGCUGUCAAGCUGUGUGGUGGUGGCAGGGUUUCUUGGAAGAGAGAAUAUAGAGGGGAGCACCAGAGGCAAUGGAAGAAAUAAGCCAAUCACAUGGGCAGAUGGAAGUCUAGACAAGUGUAAGGGCAAAGUCAAAGCAGGAUGCUUAUCUCUACUGCUCCUUCUGCUGUGUUGUGCUGCAGAUAGAAUUAUAACUGUGUCUUCUUUCCUCUCCCACAUGCUUAUUUUAAUCAUUCCAGCUAGUCCAUCUUGCCCUCUGAAUGCUCACCACUAACCUUCAAAUUCCUUCUCCUCACAAAAGAUGAGAGCCCCACAAAUGUUUGUUUUUGAGUGUUGUACACAAGAGACAUUUGACUAACCAUAACCAACCUACCUGCAGAAUCUAUGUCCCCACUAGCCC
rnacentral:lncRNA from 1 species